GGAAAGAAAAAAACAAAACCUACAUUUUAUCUUUCUCAAAACUCAUUGAUCGAAAUCCAUGGCGAUUCGAAGCUUCUCGAUUGCUUGAGUGAUCCACGCUUGAGUGACUUUGAUCCAUCGCGAUUCAAAGAAGUCCAUGACUCCUGAGCUUCAAGAUCUUCAUCGAUGAGAACGCCAUGAAUCUGAUUUGGAAAAAAAUCAAAACGAUGGUUGGAAACACGUUAGAUCCACCAGGACUUCUCGAAUCCUAUCUCUUAAGGUGAUUUGGAAUGGUUUCCAAGAGUCCGACGAAGAUCUGAAGCAAUAAAAAUCCGAUCAAUUAAAAUUUAUUCGAAAACAUCUUUGGAGAAUAAAAGCCAAAUAACACUGGAAAGAAAAAGAAUCUUCAAUUCUCACGACAUAUUAAAGAUAAGUUAUUACUUGAAUCUUUGUAUUCUUUUACAAUAGUAUGAAAUCGUCUAUGUUUUAGAUUUUACCAGACGGUGGACCUAAGUUUGAUACAAUUUAUGUACAGGUCAUGCAUUGGCAAUCUUUUGAAACAAAGCUUUAUUGGGAACAGGAAGACAUGUGACAGAGAUAAGGCACGCCAUCAAUAAGAGCCGGCUUACUUAAGGUGCAAGAAAUCAGUAGAUGAUUUGGACAUGGCAACUAUGGAAUCUCCCUCAUAGAUAUAUUCAUAUCAGAACUCCCCUUGAUAACAUUUAGGUCUUCUUGCCUGCUUCAGCCUCCAAAUCACUCAUCUUCUCCACCUUGAUAGUUUUUGAGCGAAGGUUCUUUGAAGUCGAAGUGAUAUCGCGUGGUGGGUCUGACCAUGCUCCCUUUCUCUUCGUGGAUGGUGUGGUGGAUGGUGUGGACAAAUCAAUGUGCUCUUCAUUGUCAAGGAGAUUGACAGAGUUCUGACAAAUAUGGAUGAUCGGUUGCUCGGUACAUGCCAGUUGAAGGACUGAGGGUGAAAUUCUGGAUGUGCCUCCAUGCUCCAACAGGAAGCAGGCGGCCUUUACUCCAUCUUCAUCGGAUAGCACCAUCUCGAGGGUGUCCCCGUGCACUGGGUUGUACUGCUUCCAAGAGUGUAGAACCUUCACAUGCACUUUCCAGCGACUCUUGUAGGGUUUCACAUCUUUCAAAGGGGUCACUUUCAUUGCGGUAGACAUUUUUUUUUUUAUUGUGAAUGUAGUUGUGAGUAAAUGUGAGAAAGCAUAGGCAUGUUGUAGGUGUUUAUAUAGCAGUAGGUUUAUCGAUGGUUCUAAAUGUCUGGUAAAAAAAUAUCUCUCGUAUAUUCUUAGUUCUCUAUAGGAAACCGUUAGAGUAUUGAUCAAGAAAAAAUAUUUAGAGCUCGAUUUUGUUUGUGGUUGUUUACAUAUCUUAACAAUAUUUACAAUUCUGUUAGUUUAGA